GCCGAAGUGGCGGAAUUGGUAGACGCGCUAGGUUCAGGGUCUAGUGCCCGUACGGGUGUAGGAGUUCGACUCUCCUCUUCGGCACCA
rnacentral:tRNA from 1 species